AGGACGAACGCUGGCGGCGUGCUUAACACAUGCAAGUCGAGCGGUAAGGCUCCUUCGGGAGUACACGAGCGGCGAACGGGUGAGUAACACGUGAGCAAUCUGCCCUUCACUUCGGGAUAACUCCGGGAAACCGGUGCUAAUACCGAAUACGACCACUUCAGGCAUCUGAUGGUGGUGGAAAGUUCUGGCGGUGAAGGAUGAGCUCGCGGCCUAUCAGCUUGUUGGUGAGGUAACGGCCCACCAAGGCAACGACGGGUAGCCGGCCUGAGAGGGUGACCGGCCACACUGGGACUGAGACACGGCCCAGACUCCUACGGGAGGCAGCAGUGGGGAAUAUUGGACAAUGGGCGAAAGCCUGAUCCAGCAACGCCGCGUGAGGGAUGACGGCCUUCGGGUUGUAAACCUCUUUCAGUAGGGACGAAGCGCAAGUGACGGUACCUACAGAAGAAGCACCGGCCAACUACGUGCCAGCAGCCGC
rnacentral:rRNA from 1 species